rnacentral:lncRNA from 1 species
GCCUUUGGAUGACCUGUAUUCGUACUUGUUCCACAUGAUUAAUGUCCCGCUGAAUUCAAUGUUGAAGGUUGUUCAAGUCACCGUUAGAGCUUGCUAGAAACGAUUACGAUGUAAAGGUAAUUAACUGCCAUAUAUUGUUUGGGAAUUGGUCACAUGAUUAUUCUUCUGCAAGUUAAGAUAAAGAGCAUCCAAGCGUACUUAUGCUUAUGUUAUUAGUCAUUACAAAGUCAUUUUUUAUUUUACAUUGGGAGUAUUCCGCAUGUGUUUGAGUCUGUAGAAGUAAAUAUUUCACAUGAUAAUAUUUGAUGUUUAUGGACGGAAUUUGUUUUGCCCGUAG